UACAGACAGGAAUGUCUAGGAGAAAGUUGUACACACUGUGUGUAAGGAAUUGGAUUGGGUAUACCGCGGUAUUGGCCGACCCGGAGAUGAGGUGGCCUUCGUAUGGCUCUUUCGAACAGGCUGCCUUAAGAGGAGUAAGGAGCCAGAUCGAAAAAGACCAUCCGGGACAGUUAUGUUACUGGUUUUGUUGGGACACUGCAGCAGAGCUGUGGAAAUCUUUAAAAAAUUAUGGCAGUCAGGUAUUCUCCUGAGAGUGAACCCCCUCCAUGUUAUUUUGAUGAAGGGUGUAAACCACGGCGUGUUUUGACUCGUCAGUUGGUCCCCACUGCACCUGCCCCUAUUCCUCCGCAGGGGGACUCUCUCCAGGGCGCAGAGGGGAAUCUGCAGGACUCCAGAUCGGAAUCUCUGCAGAGGGAUAAGGGGGAAAUGGAAGGGCACACCUCGGGAGGAGUAAUUACUAGGCAAAAGAUCAAGCAGAUGCAGCAGGUUGCAUACCCCUCCCCUGAGGAUAGCCCAGAGGCUGCCUCCGCCAAACUUUUUGUGAGUGAUAAAGGUGUAAGUAGAGAAAUGCCUUUACAGGUGCACGACCAACCUUUUGCGGACAAUAAUGGCCAGUUACAACAUACUAAUAUUGUGGAAUAUAAAGGAUGGCUAGAAUGGGACUUGAAAGAGUGGGGACGGUUGUCAGGGUCCUUUGGGGAAAAUCCCCGAAAAAUCACAGAACUUUUAGAAAGAUUGUUUUCAAGUCAUAAUCCUACUUAUACGGAUGUAGAUCAGUUGUUAAGUAGAGUUUUGACCGGAGAGGAACGUAGUAGAUUGUGGAUGGCAGAAAGGACAUGGGGGGAUAGCGAUGUGGUUAAUACUACUUGGAUGGAUAGGCGGGAUCAAGCCGCUGGCUGGAAUCCCCUAGACUGGAGUCAGCCAAGGCUGACUCAGCUGCGAACAAAUCGAGAGCGAUUGUUAGAGAGACUCAAAGAAAUGGCUCGCCGCUUGCCUAAUCAGGCUAAGUUCAUGCAGAUUCGGCAAAAAUCUGAUGAGCCACCCAGAAAGUUCUGGUCGAGGCUAUUGGAGGGGGCCUGAAUGUUCACUCAGAUGGAUCCUGAGAAAGAAGCAAACCACCCUACUCUUAUUUCGUUUUUUGUGNNNNNNNNNNNNN
rnacentral:lncRNA from 1 species